UGCUGGAAAGGGAGCCAAGGGAGCAUAGCACAAAUUGCCUGGGACAGCCAAGAAGGCUUGAUAGGGAAAGGGACUUGUGGGUCUAAACACUGGGGCUGGAGUUCCAGAGAUGAGGACAGGAGACACAGAGUUAAGAUCUGCAAGUGUGAAAGAGAAGAGAUGCUGGAGGAACAGCUGAGGGUAGCUAGACUGGGUAGGAUACUGGCUCUGGAAUCACCUGCCUGGGUUUGAAUCUCAGUGCCUCCACUCACCACCUGCGUAGCCUUGGGCUCAUUACUUGACCUCUCUGUGCCUCAUCCCCCUAUGUGCAAAAUGGUGAUGAUAACAGCAUGUACCUAAGAGGGGCGAGGAUCAGUUGUGUUCCCUACCUCUAAGUGCCUGGCACACACUACAUGCUCCACAGCACAAGCCCUGGCUAUGGUUACUGCUGUUCUCUGGGAGAUUGUGGGGCAGAGGGCAGGCAGACCAGCUAUAACACCUCCUUGAAUUCUCAACAAAACCAGCAGGAGGUCCUCUGUGUUGUGCCUGGCCACCCAUGACUCAGGCACACUCGGGCCAGGAAGCACCAGGGCAAGGAUCCAGGAGGCAGAAAACCUAAGGGCAGACUCCCAGGCUGGGCCACUGGGGCUGAGCUAGAGGCUCAGUGCAGCCGCUACAGACUGCAUUUACUGAGUGGCUACCAGGUGCCAGCGCUGUGGAUAAGGACUUGAAAAGUACAGAAAGGUGCUUCCCGGACUCUUCUCUCAGCUGACCUAGGGAUGUGGCUGAGAAGGACCCUUGUCCUUUUGCAAGCAAGGCCCGUCUGAACCCACACUCAGGCGCUCCAAAACCUGUGAUGGGAACACAAUGGUAGCGGGGAUGGGGAGGGCUGUACCUCUAGGACAGGUCUGAGCGACUGUGGUUUUUUCUGGCAGGCGCCUAGCCUGGGGCCUGUGGUCACGAAGGGCAGGGCAAGGACCUGCAAGGGCUGGGUGUGCCCGACGGGGGGGGGCAAGGAGGGGAAGAGGAGAGAGGAUGGGAGAAAUCGGGACACCAGGAGGAGGAGGGCCCGGCCAGGAAAUGGACCCGCCGGCGUUCCCAGACCGCCUCUGCCUGCAACCAGAGGACGCAGCGCCCACCCUGCGUGCUGCGCGCUGGCCCUAGGAGGGGGCGCGGACAAGGCGCGCGGGGUAACUCCGACCGGCACCCCGAGCCCUUCAUCGCGCAGGAGGAGCCCUGGUCCCAGCUCCCUGGCAGUCAAGGCAGUGGAACACCCGGACCUCACCUUUCAGAAGUCUCAAGUUGGCCAAGGCAAAACAAAAAGAAUCCAAGGAGGGCUGUGUGGAGGAAGUGGCAUUUGAACUGGGCCUUGAACAAGCUCUGGUGGUCAGAUUUUGGCCUGUGUCAGAAAAUCCUGAAGGAAUUGCUCCAAGGCCAGACUCUUGGACCUCAUCCUGAAGUGAUUCUUUUUGAGGGAAUCCAGGGCAGGCCCAGGAAUACUGAGGUG
rnacentral:lncRNA from 1 species